UCUUCAUUCCCCGUACUCCCUCACCGGCCAGAGAGGCGAGAGAGUGUGUGAAAUGAAGAGA
rnacentral:pre_miRNA from 1 species